rnacentral:lncRNA from 1 species
GCUUUUUCUUAGAAUCCUUCUUCAUCUUCUUCUUACUGAUCUUAUCAACAUGAAGAACUUGAGCCUUUUCAUCCUUGAAAUGGCUCUCUGCUAUUUUUAAUAUAUUCAACAGCUUAGACAAGCUGAUGUUCAGUUUGUUCAUAUGAUAAUUAAUGAUAAACUGAGAAAAGGAGUCAGGGAGAGACCGCAGGAUCAAAUUCUGGCUCAGUUCACCAUCCAUGGUAAAAUCCAGCUAUCCCAGAUGAGUGAUCAAAUCAAUCAUCUUUAGGACAUGCGUU